rnacentral:rRNA from 1 species
UAGCGGCGGACGGGUGAGUAACACGUGGGCAACCUGCCUGUAAGACUGGGAUAACUUCGGGAAACCGGAGCUAAUACCGGAUAAUCCUUUCCUACUCAUGUAGGAAAGCUGAAAGACGGUUUACGCUGUCACUUACAGAUGGGCCCGCGGCGCAUUAGCUAGUUGGUGAGGUAACGGCUCACCAAGGCGACGAUGCGUAGCCAACCUGAGAGGGUGAUCGGCCACACUGGGACUGAGACACGGCCCAGACUCCUACGGGAGGCAGCAGUAGGGAAUCUUCCGCAAUGGACGAAAGUCUGACGGAGCAACGCCGCGUGAGUGAUGAAGGUUUUCGGAUCGUAAAACUCUGUUGUUAGGGAAGAACAAGUACGAGAGUACUGCUCGUACCUUGACGGUACCUAACCAGAAAGCCACGGCUAACUACGUGC